CCCAAAUGCAGUAACGUAGAGGACCGUGUAUAGGUAAAGCAUCUGCCAUGGCUCUGCAGGCUCACAGUUGCCCAUGAGAAGAGCAAUCUGAUCACAUUUGUCUUGAUUUGGCAUCAGACUAGUCAUGGUUGCACACAAGGCUGACUGCAAGAUAAAUGGUGGUGAAGAUGGCUAUAGUCCAGUAUCUCCCGAGAAAGGCAUCGGCGAGGAAACCACCGGGCACAGACGAGGCCUGCGAUAUCCCUAAGAAGUUGUUGACCGCGUUAGCUGAGUCAUCGAAAGGUUGAUGCAUCACGUAGAACAUGAAUGCCACCAUGUUCACAGACAGACCAAAGUAAGCCAUUCUCUCCUCCAUUUCAUUCCCUGCAAACGUUUGUAUAUAAUCAAGUAAUUUUCCAAUCUCUCUCAAGAAAAAAACACCAACCACACAUUUCCCCUGUUAUUACCAAAAAUGAAGAAAGCAGCAAGCCAGCCUCCAGUCCUGGACACACUUGCCUCGGUAAGUGGCUUUCCGAGGAUGUUCACCGGCGUUGCUCCGCUCGUGUAGCCGCCCCCCAGAGCCGUCCGCCUGUCGUCGGAUCAAGAAAGUACAUCCCCAGCCGCUUCCUCCGGUGAGGCGCCUCGACCGGAGCAACGGAUGGCGACUUGAUCUCCCGAGCAGCCAUAUGCCUAUGUCCGAGCCUUAAUGCUGCUACUUAUAUGCAAUGCGGCCACUAAAUUCGGUCACAUUUUUCCUUCAUUUAUUUGGUGUGAGGACUGUUGGGGUGAAGAGAAUCAGUUGCUAACAUAUAUCAUUAAUGCAGCUGCAAUAAUGGUUGGAAACACAAUCAGAAUCUACUCUCCCACCAAACACCUGCAAUUUGGACUAGCCAUCAUCGUCCCCAAUCAUUACAGGUGCAUCAAAGAAGCCCCCGGACUCUACGACGGCGAUGGAGCUACCAAAUGACUGUUUGGGCUUUUGUACCCUAUGUAUUUAGGCUCAACCUAGUUCCUAUUAUAUCUAUUAUUACGGUUUGUUACUACUUUUGUUUUGGGCUUUUUGUACCCUAUGUAUUUAGGCUCAACCUAGUUCCUAUUAUAUCUAUUAUUACGGUUUGUUACUACUUUUGUUCUCUCUUUGCAAAUUGUAUACAAAGACUAAAUAGUGAAAUCUUUAUAUUGA